CCCCGGUAAACGGCGGCCGUAACUAUAACGGUCCUAAGGUAGCGAAAUUCCUUGUCGGGUAAGUUCCGACCUGCACGAAUGGCGUAAUGAUGGCCAGGCUGUCUCCACCCGAGACUCAGUGAAAUUGAACUCGCUGUGAAGAUGCAGUGUACCCGCGGCAAGACGGAAAGACCCCGUGAACCUUUACUAUAGCUUGACACUGAACAUUGAGCCUUGAUGUGUAGGAUAGGUGGGAGGCUUUGAAGUGUGGACGCCAGUCUGCAUGGAGCCGACCUUGAAAUACCACCCUUUAAUGUUUGAUGUUCUAACGUGGACCCGUAAUCCGGGUUGCGGACAGUGUCUGGUGGGUAGUUUGACUGGGGCGGUCUCCUCCUAAAGAGUAACGGAGGAGCACGAAGGUUGGCUAAUCCUGGUCGGACAUCAGGAGGUUAGUGCAAUGGCAUAAGCCAGCUUGACUGCGAGCGUGACGGCGCGAGCAGGUGCGAAAGCAGGUCAUAGUGAUCCGGUGGUUCUGAAUGGAAGGGCCAUCGCUCAACGGAUAAAAGGUACUCCGGGGAUAACAGGCUGAUACCGCCCAAGAGUUCAUAUCGACGGCGGUGUUUGGCACCUCGAUGUCGGCUCAUCACAUCCUGGGGCUGAAGUAGGUCCCAAGGGUAUGGCUGUUCGCCAUUUAAAGUGGUACGCGAGCUGGGUUUAGAACGUCGUGAGACAGUUCGGUCCCUAUCUGCCGUGGGCGCUGGAGAACUGAGGGGGGCUGCUCCUAGUACGAGAGGACCGGAGUGGACGCAUCACUGGUGUUCGGGUUGUCAUGCCAAUGGCACUGCCCGGUAGCUAAAUGCGGAAGAGAUAAGUGCUGAAAGCAUCUAAGC
rnacentral:rRNA from 3 species